UGGGGAAUAUUGCGCAAUGGGCGAAAGCCUGACGCAGCAACGCCGCGUGAACGAUGAAGGCCCUUGGGUUGUAAAGUUCUUUCGGUUGAGACAAUGUGGUUUUAUGUGAAUAGCAUGAGAUUGUGAUGGUAUCAAAAGAAGAAGCACCGGCUAACUUCGUGCCAGCAGCCGCGGUAAUACGAAGGGUGCAAGCGUUGUUCGGAAUUAUUGGGCGUAAAGGGUUCGUAGGCUGGACUUUUAGUCCUGUGUUAAAAGGGUGGGCUUAACCUACCUAUUGCAUAGGAGACGGGAGUUCUUGAGUUUUGGAGAGGGUCGUGGAAUUGCUGGUGUAGGAGUGACAUCCGUAGAGAUCAGCAGGAACACCGGAGGCGAAAGCGACGACCUGGUCAAGGACUGACGCUGAGGAACGAAAGCGUGGGGAGCAAACA
rnacentral:rRNA from 1 species